AGCAGCCGCGGUAAUUCCAGCUCCAAUAGCGUAUAUUAAAGUUGUUGCAGUUAAAAAGCUCGUAGUUGAAUUUCGGGAUUAGUACGCUGGUCAUGCCUUUGGUAUGUACUGGUGUUACUGAUUUCUACCUUCUGAAGAACCGUUAUGUCAUUUAUUUGGUGUGGCGGGGAAUCAGGACUGUUACUUUGAAAAAAUUAGAGUGUUUAAAGCAGGCUCGCGCUUGAAUACAUUAGCAUGGAAUAAUGAAAUAGGACGUUUGACCCUAUUUUGUUGGUUUCUAGGAUCGACGUAAUGAUUAAUAGGGAUAGUUGGGGGCAUUAGUAUUCAAUUGUCAGAGGUGAAAUUCUUGGAUUUAUUGAAGACUAACUACUGCGAAAGCAUUUGCCAAGGAUGUUUUCAUUAAUCAAGAACGAAAGUUAGGGGAUCGAAGACGAUCAGAUACCGUCGUAGUCUUAACCAUAAACUAUGCCGACUAGGGAUCGGAUGAUGUUAUUUUUAAUGACUCAUUCGGCGCCUUACG
rnacentral:rRNA from 1 species